rnacentral:rRNA from 1 species
UACGUAGGGGGCAAGCGUUGUCCGGAUUUAUUGGGCGUAAAGAGCGUGUAGGCGGUUUGGUAGGUCCGUUGUGAAAACUCGAGGCUCAACCUCGAGACGCCGGCGGAAACCAUCAGGCUAGAGUCCGGAAGAGGAGAGUGGAAUUCCUGGUGUAGCGGUGAAAUGCGUAGAUAUUGGAAAGACCACCAAUGGCGAAGGCACUCUACUGGGCCAUUACUGACACUGAGAGACGAAAGCUAGGGGAGCAAAUGGG